CCUACGGGUGGCAGCAGUGGGGAAUAUUGCGCAAUGGGGGGAACCCUGACGCAGCGACGCCGCGUGAAGGAAGAAGGCCUUCGGGUUGUAAACUUCUUUGAUUGGGGAAGAAAAAUGACGGUACCCAAAGAACAAGCCACGGCUAACUACGUGCCAGCAGCCGCGGUAAUACGUAGGUGGCGAGCGUUAUCCGGAAUUACUGGGUGUAAAGGGCGUGUAGGCGGGGAUGCAAGUCAGAUGUGAAAUUCCGGGGCUCAACCUCGGCACUGCAUCUGAAACUGUGUCUCUUGAGUGCUGGAGAGGAAAGUGGAAUUCCUAGUGUAGCGGUGAAAUGCGUAGAGAUUAGGAGGAACACCAGUGGCGAAGGCGACUUUCUGGACAGCAACUGACGCUGAGGCGCAAGAGCGUGGGGAGCAAACAGGAUUAGAUACCCCUGUAGUC
rnacentral:rRNA from 1 species